GAAAACUUUGUAGCAAACUUAAUACAAACAGCAGUAAGAAGCCCUCAGAGAAAAAAAGUGCCCAGUCCUUUCCCCCUAAGUCUCACUUUUGGGGGGGGGCUCCGUCUUGUUCCUUUUUGAACCAAAUUUCUCCACCUCCAGAUACAUGAACUCAGCACAGAAACCCAAUUUUCCCCCAAGAAGAACCUUUCCAUUCACAUUCGGAUUUCCCGCCUUCCCUCCCUAACACUGGAAGUUAAGACAAAAAUCAAGGGACGGAGUUUGAACUUUUGUGCUCCUCAGCCCAGAGCAGAUCCAGUGCUAACUACUUACAUGUCAAGGGGAUUUGGGGUCUGUGGGGAUCUCCUGAUGCUUGGAGAGAAGGACCUUGGAAGAUUGGUGUAGCCGCAGAUUCACCCCUUCUUUUUACUUGGCCAUUGAAGAGAGAGAUACAAUGCUGCGCUAGCAGGCAUUCAUGCGCCUUGCCUCUCCCAUGACUCUGGGCAAGAAAUCCCCAGUUCUACAAAAGCAGUGGCAUCCUAUCUGGACACCCAGGGCUGAGCAAGGGCUGGCCUGGGAGGGUUGAAGAUGGGGGUGGGGGAGAGGUCAGAGGCGCUCCAGAAUAUAAAGGCAAUGGGAAAGAAAAUGCUGUGUCCUCCCCGUGAACCUGGGCUGUGUCCUCCCCCAAGCCUUUCCCCACUGCUCCACUCAACUUCAAUAAAAGACUGGCCCUCAGCCUCCCAGUGAGAAUAUAGCAGCAUUGGGCAGGCAAAGUAUGGGGACCAAGACUGCUAGAACUUGGGGCUCCAGCCUAGGUUCACAUCCCCCACCCACCUAUGCCUGGGCAGCCUGAACCCUGGUAUGGGUAAUGAGGUCCAAAGCAAAGGAGAACUUUUGGGAAAGACGAGAAAAUGGAUCUUACUGGAGGGAAGACCAGAUACAGAAAUCUUCAAAAAUUCAACUGUAAAAAAAUUUUUGUUUCAUUUGUCAAGAUUUAUGGAUUUCUAAUGUUUCCCCUCUUCGGACCAAAAGAGACAGAGGGUAACUUUGUGUGUGUGACAAGAGGUUGGGGAAAAGCCAUGCCUGUACAGAAGGGGAAAUAAAAUAAACACCCUAAUCCUUUUAA
rnacentral:lncRNA from 1 species